UACGUAGGGCGCAAGCGUUAUCCGGAAUUAUUUGGGCGUAAAGAGCUCGUAGGCGGUUUGUCGCGUCUGCCGUGAAAGUCCGGGGCUCAACUCCGGAUCUGCGGUGGGUACGGGCAGACUAGAGUGAUGUAGGGGAGACUGGAAUUCCUGGUGUAGCGGUGAAAUGCGCAGAUAUCAGGAGGAACACCGAUGGCGAAGGCAGGUCUCUGGGCAUUAACUGACGCUGGAGGAGCGGAAA
rnacentral:rRNA from 1 species